CUAAGAAUCUUGCGCAAUGGGCGAAAGCCUGACGCAGCAAUUCCGCGUGGGGGGACGAAGGCCCUCGGGUCGUAAACCCCUUUUGUGAGGGAAGAAGUUCUGACGGUACCUCACGAAUAAGACACGGCUAACUACGUGCCAGCAGCCGCGGUAAUACGUAGGUGUCGAGCGUUGUCCGGAUUUAUUGGGCGUAAAGAGCCCGCAGGCGGCUUGGUAAGUUCGAGGUGAAAUCUCCCGGCUCAACUGGGAGGGUGCCUCGAAAACUAUCAGGCUUGAGGCAGGGAGAGGGAUGUGGAAUUCCCGGUGUAGUGGUGAAAUGCGUAGAUAUCGGGAGGAACACCUGUGGCGAAGGCGGCAUCCUGGCCCUGUCCUGACGCUCAGGGGCGAAAGCGUGGGGAGCAAACC
rnacentral:rRNA from 1 species